rnacentral:rRNA from 1 species
UCCGUAGGUGAACCUGCGGAAGGAUCAUUACAGAGUUCAUGCCCGAAAGGGUAGACCUCCCACCCUUGUGUAUUAUUACUUUGUUGCUUUGGCGAGCUGCCUUCGGGCCUUGUAUGCUCGCCAGAGAAUACCAAAACUCUUUUUAUUAAUGUCGUCUGAGUACUAUAUAAUAGUUAAAACUUUCAACAACGGAUCUCUUGGUUCUGGCAUCGAUGAAAAACGCAGCGAAAUGCGAUAAGUAAUGGGAAUUGCAGAAUUCAGUGAAUCAUCGAAUCUUUGAACGCACAUUGCGCCCCUUGGUAUUCCGGGGGGCAUGCCUGUUCGAGCGUCAUUUCAACCCUCAAGCUUAGCUUGGUAUUGAGUCUAUGUCAGUAAUGGCAGGCUCUAAAAUCAGUGGCGGCGCCGCUGGGUCCUGAACGUAGUAAUAUCUCUCGUUACAGGUUCUCGGUGUGCUUCUGCCAAAACCCAAAUUUUUCUAUGGUUGACCUCGGAUCAGGUAGGGAUACCCGCUGAACUUAAGCAUAUCAAUAAGCGGAGGA